UCUCGUACCUUUUGCAGCAUGGGCCAGCGAUUUAAUAUAGGAAAAGAGUUUGAUAAAAGA
rnacentral:rRNA from 1 species